ACUCCUACGGGAGGCAGCAGUGGGAAUAUUGCACAAUGGGCGCAAGCCUGAUGCAGCCAUGCCGCGUGUAUGAAGAAGGCCUUCGGGUUGUAAAGUACCUUUCAGCAGUGAGGAAGGUGGGUAUGUUAAUAGCAUACUCAUUUUGACGUUAGCUGCAGAAGAAGACACCGGCUAACUCCGUGCCAGCAGGCCGCGGUAAUACGGAGGGUGCGAGCGUUAAUCGGAAUUACUGGGCGUAAAGCGCAUGCAGGUGGUUUG
rnacentral:rRNA from 1 species